GGCUCAGGAUGAACGCUGGCGGUCUGCUUAACACAUGCAAGUCGAACGGAGUACUUCGGUACUUAGUGGCGGACGGGUGAGUAACGCGUAAGGAUCUGCCCUUUGGACGGGGAUAACGACUGGAAACGGUCGCUAAGACCCGAUGUGCCGAGAGGUGAAAGUAAUUUAGCCAAAGGAUGAACUUGCGUCCGAUUAGCUAGUUGGUGGAGUAAUGGUUCACCAAGGCGACGAUCGGUAGCUGGUCUGAGAGGAUGAUCAGCCACACUGGGACUGAGACACGGCCCAGACUCCUACGGGAGGCAGCAGUGGGGAAUUUUCCGCAAUGGGCGAAAGCCUGACGGAGCAAGACCGCGUGGGGGAAGAAGGUUUGUGGAUUGUAAACCCCUUUUGAUUGGGAAGAUGAUGACGGUACCAAUCGAAUCAGCCUCGGCUAACUCCGUGCCAGCAGCCGCGGUAAUACGGAGGAGGCAAGCGUUAUCCGGAAUUAUUGGGCGUAAAGCGUCCGUAGGUGGAUGAGCGUGUCAGUUGUUAAAGGAUGCGGCUUAACCGCAUAAAGGCGAUUGAAACUGUUUAUCUAGAGUGCGAUAGGGGCAAGGGGAAUUCCCAGUGUAGCGGUGAAAUGCGUAGAUAUUGGGAAGAACACCGGUGGCGAAAGCGCCUUGCUGGGUCUGCACUGACACUGAGGGACGAAAGCUAGGGGAGCGAAAGGGAUUAGAUACCCCUGUAGUCCUAGCUGUAAACGAUGGGUACUAGGCGUUGUCCGUAUCGACCCGGGCAGUGCCGUAGCUAACGCGUUAAGUACCCCGCCUGGGGAGUACGCUCGCAAGAGUGAAACUC
rnacentral:rRNA from 1 species